rfam:Danio rerio chromosome 4, GRCz11 reference primary assembly.
CUCUCUGUGCCGCAAUCGGUUAGUGCGUUCGGCUGUUACUGAAAGGUUGGUGGUUCAAGCCCACCCAGGGACG